GGCUCAUGGAUAACUCAGCUGGUUAGAGCAUGGUGCUGGUAACACCACGGUCAUAGGUUCGAUCCCCAUAUGGGACA